rnacentral:rRNA from 1 species
UGGCCGCGGGAUUUGAUUAAGCCAUGCGAGUCGAAUGUAGCAAUACAUGGCGAACUGCUCAGUAACACGUGGACAACCUGCCCUUAGGACGGGGAUAAACCCGGGAAACUGGGUAUAAUACCCGAUAGGUCUCGAUUGCUGGAAUGCAUCGAGAUUUAAAGCUCCGGCGCCUAAGGAUGGGUCUGCGGCCUAUCAGGUAGUAGUGGGUGUAGCGUACCUACUAGCCUACGACGGGUACGGGUUGUGAGAGCAAGAGCCCGGAGAUGGAUUCUGAGACACGAAUCCAGGCCCUACGGGGUGCAGCAGGCGCGAAAACUUUACAAUGCUGGCAACAGCGAUAAGGGAACCUCGAGUGCCAGGUUACAAAUCUGGCUGUCGAGAUGCCUAAAAAGCAUUUCAUAGCAAGGGCCGGGCAAGACCGGUGCCAGCCGCCGCGGUAACACCGGCGGCUCGAGUGGUAACCGUUAUUAUUGGGUCUAAAGGGUCUGUAGCCGGCCGGAUAAGUCUCUUGAGAAAUCUGGCAGCUUAACUGUCAGGCUUUCAGGAGAUACUGUCUGGCUCGAGGCCGGGAGAGGUGAGAGGUACUUCAGGGGUAGGGGUGAAAUCUUGUAAUCCUUGAAGGACCACCAGUGGCGAAGGCGUCUCACCAGAACGGACCUGACGGCAAGGGACGAAAGCUAGGGGCACGAACCGGAUUAGAUACCCGGGUAGUCCUAGCCGUAAACGAUACUCGCUAGGUGUCGGCCACGGUGCGACCGUUGUCGGUGCCGUAGGGAAGCCGUGAAGCGAGCCACCUGGG